GUGCACCCGGCGUGACGUGCACGAGCGAAAAGAACUGAAUUUAUCCAAUCAUUGAAAUAAUUUUGUUUGCAGAGGCAAUUCGCGCAAGGGAGGUAUAGGAAUUAAUUAUUUGGCUUGCGAGUGACAGCACGAGCCGAAUUUAUUGCCCGUGGAAGUACCCACGAUAGGAAUACACUGUUGGGAACAUGGUGGCGCCGCUGACGGUACCUAUGUAAGUGGAAUUACUUUAUUGGAAGUACCCACGACGGGGAAAAUAGUCUCUCUAGUAUUGUCGGUGAAUGGUGAUGGUGGUGGUGGCGAUGGCUACUUUCCUCUGCUCAGAGAGAACCCCUGCAUGUCCUUCGUCGUGAUGCGAAAGAGCAGUGGAUGCAGAAAAUGUCUCUACCUGCCAGGAUGGUAUAAGAGCACGAACUGAAUCACCUGUUGGUGCAGAAGGCUUGGAGGACUGCUUUUGAAACAGUUGUUCAAAUUUCCUGCACCUCUUCGUAGCCGUUGUCUGAUUGCUGUAUUCUGGGGAGACUGAAGUUAAGAAGCCCUCACCGAAACCAACACUACGUUGCUGUGUUGUUUUCUUCCAAGGUCGGGCACAGUAAAGGAGACGACUCUGUAUCAAGGCACUACCCAGAGGGAGGAUGUUGGCCUGCUCCUGAUGGGAAAAUGUCUUCUUUCUCAUGGCGUGGCCAGGACUGCACUGACCCUACCAUCCACUCUACCUCUCCGGAAAGGGACUUGACAACCAGUCAAGAUGGAUGUGCAGAGAUAUACCAGCGCUUCUAGCAUUAACUGCCAAUUUGCACUGACGCAGCAAGACUCCCAACAGUCAAUAUCGUUUUACUUGAACAUCAUACUCUCGCCCAACUUUGUUUCGCCAACAAAGGUUUAUUCUCCAAAGUAUUUCUAAUUGAUUGUGUAUGAGUUUCAUACUACUACUACUGUCAGGGGCGUCGGAAGGUAUUUUAGUGUGGUACGGUCAGCCAUCUGAAGUACAAUUGACUCGUGGGGGAGUGGUGGCUGAGCCGAAAAUUUUUGAAUUUUAGAUCCCCAGUGUAUUUUGUUGACUCAUGGGUAUCUGGGGCAAAAAGUGGUACGGUCAAUACCGUAGUGACCGUACCGUGUGCGACGCCCCUGACUGUUGGAAUCCACCAGCUGUGUUUCCUUGAGGGGCGUAUCCUUACCUGGGAUGUGUUUUCUCAUUCCCGGCAGCAGAAAGAGCUCUACAAUAUGUAUAUAAUUUAAGAAUAGAAUUUGAUGUACAGGAGAGUGCCAAUUAUCCCCACCCCUCGGGACGCGGGCUGUCUCCAGAGGGUUCAGAUGAGAAGAAUGUUCGGAUAAGAGAGCAGUCACACAUCUAUCUAAAUCAUGCAUAUUCCAGCAUGUUUUCAUCAUUUUCGUUCUCUUCAGCAGUGAAACAGGAACUAGGUGCACUCAUGCUCCUCUAAAUUAAUGACACUAUUAUUACACAUUUUGACUCAAACCUGUUUUAAUACAUCUUGUGAAUCGCUUCAAUGGUGCCCCGAGCGACGAAAAUCACUAACUUUGAAACUCAUCUUCUACCCCUCAAUUAAAUGCAAGCAAUUAUUUUGGAUAAUUAAUCAUUUGGAUAGUUGACAUUAGGAUAAUCGGCACAUUGUGUGUGAUGGGGGGGGGGGGAGGAAGAGGAGGAGGCUGCGAGAGGCCGUGGUGGACGUGUACCGGCUUGUGCACAGCCUGGAAAUAGCCUCACUUUAGAUGUAUGCACAUUCAAACGGUGGAUGCUUCCCGCCAUCCUUUUCCCCCUCUUUUUCCUUUUCCUGCCAUUCUUUACCCCCUCUUUUUCAAUUUCCCGCUCUUCUUUUCCCCCUCUUUUUCCCCCUUUUUCUCCCCUUUUCCCCCUUUUCUGCGAGAAGAUUAGCC